GGGGGAAAAGGUGACCGAACUCUGGAUUUUGUCUGCCUCUCCAGUGCUUCACUGCCGUGUUCUGGGUGCCAUUAUUAACAUUACUCAGUUGUACAUGGCUAAGUGAUCCAGCCCGGGACCAUUAGUGCAUUUCCCUUAACGCGUCUGGCAUACAAAUUCAUUUCUAGGGGUAUGGAAACAGCCCUCCAUCUUGAGCCCGAGCCCCAUGAUUUGUAGUACAUUCUGUAUUAAUUGCUCACUAUUCUGGGAACUUCACAUAUCAAUUUGACUCUGUCAUAUAGUGUGACCAUUCACCGCAAAUGUGUUUGAUAUAUAUCCUUGCAGCAGCAACUGCUGAAAUGAACAGAUAUUCCUUUUUAUCAUAAAAUGAGUUAUAUCCUAGGCCCUCAGGCUUGAAAGGGGGGGGGUGUGGAGCCACCUACAUAAAUAAUAAGGGAAAGAGAGACCUUCAUUUAUAAGUUUAGGUGAAACAUCUGGCAAGUGGGCGAUAUUUAGAUUGUAGGAAACAUAGAUGCUUGGCAUCUUCCACGGUGGAGACGGUCAGGUCCUCCAGAAACACAGUCGGCUCACAAAAUGUGGUCGGGAAGCGUGCUCUCUGCUUGUCUCAGGAGAGGCCCCAGGACAGUGAGGGUGGCUGGGAGAUUCCUGGGGCCUCGCAUCACUUUUACAUCAAAAUGAAGAGCAGUGAGAACAGGUUCCAUCACUAUUUUCCUCUCCAAGGCACUCCAGUUGCAAGAACUUUCUGGAAUUUCUGUCAGGGCACAAAUUCCCAGAAUUGCAUUUGGGCCCCUCACCUGUAUUUCCUCUCUCUCCGCUGACCUCAGAACGCAGGAUGAGGUGAAUCCUGAUUUUGCCCAACCGCACAGAACACAGCUUGCCGAACCACCAAAUUAUAGGAAAUAACCGAAGCUCUGGGCAAAAAUAUGGAUCGAAAGGCCCCACUCAUGAGGGUGUUGAAAUCUGCUGAGAUUUAUUUUGAUGAAGAUGGAGGCCCCCAAAUGUGGGGUGAAUGGAUCAGGUGGAAGAUGGCAGCGUGGGUGGUGAAAGAAUUCACCAUAGGCAGAGCAAAGGAGAUAGAAGUUUACUGAAUAAACUGCAAGGGAACGACAGCCACAUCAGAUGGCCUCGCUGUGCUUGGAGAAACAAAUGAACAAUCAGAAGGUCAACAAAAACAGCUCUUCCGUGCACCUGACAUCAUGACCCAUGAAUUUCCCAGUGAGACAAGAACAACUUUAUCCUGAUGGUGACCGAGAGUGGCACUGAUGCCACAUUUGGGGCCAAUCGCUCACGUAUGAGAGAAUGACCAAAAGGGGGAACUCUUAAAUUCUCAACAAAAUUCUCCUCUUAGAAGGAGGCCAUGAGACUGAGGUGGUUCUAAUACCCCGGGAGUUUGGGUAAGCAAACCCAAGCCAAAGGCUGUAAACGCCUCAAGGAUAAGAGAUCAAAACCUAAGGACAACCAACCAGUUGAGCUUUUCCAAGUCCAGCACACUGAAGCUACGGUCAAUCAAAUAAUUUCCUUGCUUGGCUUCCACAUCUUUUCUAUAAAAGUCUCUCCCCUAGCUCCUGUUGGGGGAGCACUUCUGGCCAGUUCUGAUUGGGCACUGCCUGAUUUGAAUUGAUUUUUACUCAAAUAAACGCUUAAUAUUUCUAAUAUGUCUCUGUCUUUUAACCAUGUAAAGAACUCUGACAUUCAACAGUCAAAAUACACAACGCAAUAAAAACUUGGCCGAAGAUUUGAACAAUUCACCAAAGAUCUAUGGAUGACAAAUAAACACACGAAGAGAUGCCCAACACCAGCCAAUAGGCAAACAUAAACAAAAGUCACAGUGAAAUACCACUUCGCACCUAUUAGAAUGAAAAAUUAAAUAGACUCAUCACAGGAAGUAUCAGCAAGGAUUAGGAAAGCUGGAGCUCUCAUCUACCGCUGGUGGGCAUGUAAAAUGUUCCAACCGCUUUGGAAAGCAGUCUGUUACCAAAUUAAACUUACACUUACUAUAUGGUCAGCCGUUGCACAAAUAGAUAUUUACUCCAAAGAAAAGAAAGUGUGUGUCCAUUGAUAUACAUAACAUGAAUGACUCUCCAAGUAAUGAUGCCGAGUGAAGGAAGCAAACAAAAGCGAGUGCGUGGCGUAAGUCCAUUUAUAUAAAACUCGAGUUAAUGCAAAUUAAUCCCUACUCACAGGAAGCAAAUCAGAGGUUGUGGGGGAGGGGAGAGGACUUGAGGGAAGGAUUUUAAAGGGCUCCUUGUGUUGGUGUGGUCACGGUUUCAUGGCUGUUUACAUACGUCAAAACUUAUCUAAUUGUCCACUUCAAAUGUGUGCUGUUUUUAACGUGUCGUCUAGAACUCAAUAAUAUUUUUGUAAAGUUUUUAAAGAGAAGGCACCCCACAGAUGUAUCUGGAAUCAUGCAUUUUCUUAAUUCUAAGAAUACUUUCAAAUCGCUGGUAUCUAUUCAUCCAUCAACAUCUAUUCAGCCAAGCACUGAGCAAAACCGGCCCUGACUUACCUGGCUGUCUGUCUAGUGGGGGAGAGAGUCAAUUGUAUAUAUAAAGUAAUAAUGGUAUGUUAUGCUUACAGAGCACCUGUAUUUGUGAGGCGGUAAUUAAAAUAGAUUUUACUGAUUUUACCGA